CUGGCGGCAUGCCUUACACAUGCAAGUCGAACGGCAGCACGGGAGCAAUCCUGGUGGCGAGUGGCGAACGGGUGAGUAAUAUAUCGGAACGUGCCCAGUCGUGGGGGAUAACGUAGCGAAAGCUACGCUAAUACCGCAUACGAUCUACGGAUGAAAGCGGGGGAUCGCAAGACCUCGCGCGAUUGGAGCGGCCGAUAUCAGAUUAGGUAGUUGGUGAGGUAAAGGCUCACCAAGCCGACGAUCUGUAGCUGGUCUGAGAGGACGACCAGCCACACUGGGACUGAGACACGGCCCAGACUCCUACGGGAGGCAGCAGUGGGGAAUUUUGGACAAUGGGCGCAAGCCUGAUCCAGCAAUGCCGCGUGCAGGAUGAAGGCCUUCGGGUUGUAAACUGCUUUUGUACGGAACGAAACGGUGAGCUCUAAUACAGUUUGCUAAUGACGGUACCGUAAGAAUAAGCACCGGCUAACUACGUG
rnacentral:rRNA from 1 species